UUCGAUGCAGCGCGAAGAACCUUACCCAGGCUUGACAUCUAGGGAACCCUUCGGAAAUGAAGGGGUGCCCUUCGGGGAGCCNUAAGACAGGUGNUGCAUGGCNGUCGUCAGCUCGUGCCGUGAGGUNNNGGGUUAAGUCCCGCAACGAGCGCAGCCCCUAUCUUCAGUUGCCAGCAGGUAAGGNUGGUCACUCUGGAGAGACCGCCCCGGUCAACGGGGAGGAAGGUGGGGACGACGUCAAGUCAUCAUGGCCCUUACGCCUGGGGCUACACACGUACUACAAUGGCGCGCACAAAGGGUAGCGAGACCGCGAGGUGGAGCCAAUCCCAAAAAACGCGUCCCAGUCCGGAUUGGAGUNUGCAACUNGACUCCAUGAAGUCGGAAUCGCUAGUAAUUCGAGAUCAGCAUGCUCGGGNGAAUGCGUUCCCGGGCCUUGUACACACCGCCCGUCACACCACGAAAGUCGGUUUUACCCGAAGCCGGUGAGNUAACUCGCAAGAGAAGCAGCCGCCUNCNGUAGGGCCGAUGAUUGGGGNGAAGUCGUAACAAGGUAACAAUCACUAGCGAAUNCGCGGCCGCCUGCAGGUCGACCAUANNGGAGAGCUC
rnacentral:rRNA from 1 species